GUUUCAAGUUUACUCAGAAUAAAUUCUUUGCUUGGAGCGGAAAAACUAGACCAAAACAACCACCAUAGCUGGUCAUUGCUUUACAAACAUAAAGCAACGAUGAGGCACAGCAACUUAUUGAAAUAUGGUCGGAUGAAUACAGGCUCUUUAAUACAACUUUUAAUGUGAUACACAUUACUUCUUACACCGUUUCCCGACAAUCUAUAUGUCAUAGACAUUUAUCAGAGUACCUUCUUCGUCGUCUCCUCUGUAACCACCUUGCAGCAUCCUUCCUCUGUACCAUAGUUCUAUGUAAAAGGUGUUGAAACCUGAUGUUGAUGCGGACAUUUAAAAUUGGUCAGCAAAAUAUAAAUUUUGAAUAAGUGACCUAUCCUGACAAGGAUUGCAAAGCGAAGGGGUUCCUUCUACGCCCUGUCUUUGUAAUUCCUGGCCAAUGACUGGAGAGAUCUGUAGUCACAUGGUUUUGUUUACAGGCUUUAAAUCGUAACAGAAAUGUCUGGUGGGACAGCCUUCUGAAUACAGACCAAAUGCAAGGUUCAGGACUCGAUCCUGAACAAAUUAAGUGGACAGCGUCUUCACUGGUGUCCAUGGCAGACAUAAAAUCCUGUCCACCUUCAUGGGAGGGAUUACACAUCAGUUUAAUGGGGGGGGUCAUCUAGACUACACAGGAGAGCACAAGGGUUAAAAAUGUGUGUAGCUACGCAUGAACGCAAGACUUUUUUUUGGAAGAGGUCACUUGAAUGAGGGCUGAAGGGGGUGUGAACGUAGCUUAAGGGUUGCUUGUUUCUAUGCUGUCUGAUGACUCUCAGUCUUAAAAACUGGCACUAUUAUUGAGCAGGUUGUAUAAUUUAAUCAUUACUUUAUAUUGUUUGUUGGAAAAAGCUGCAAAAAGUUAAGAUGUCCCUUUAAUUUUGCCUCUUUUAUUGACAAAUGAGAACUUUUUUUAAAGCAACUAUAAAAACAUUCAUUACAACCUGAGAAAAGAGCUCAGCUUUGCUGCCAAAGUUCAACAAAAAGAACUUGAAGUAAACUUGUCUGCAAAAAAAGAGAAAUCUUGGCACAGCACAAAUACAAUUUAUGAGAGAUACCAAUGCAGAUAUGUACAGGUGUCCCUAUUAGCUACCAUGACAAUCAACAAGAUCCAAACAAGCAUUGCAACGAUGGAGCUUGUCAUUGAAAGAAAAGUUUAAGCAAGAACACUUAACAUCUGCUGAAUGCCCUCAUUUAUACUCAUGACCCCCUCCAACACUGUUCAACCACCUCUUAUUGUUGCCUUGUAAAUUAAUUUUAAGUGAAAAAUUCACAUCUUGUCGGGAUCUUUUAUUAACAUUAUUAUUUUUAAGAUGCCAUUGAAUUCUCUUUUGAGUUAUUUUGAUGAGCAUUUUAAUUGAAGCUUGAAAAACAAGUGAGAGUCAUGAUCACUUCAUUCUAGUGAAGUGCAUGAAGCUUUAGGGUCAUGGCUGAGGCACACACAGGGAUCUUCAUGGCCAGCAAAACAAAAUCAUCCUGGACUGACUCAAUUUUCUUUCCCAAUUAGGCUCAAAACCCAACAAAAGAAGUGAAUUACACCUUGAAAAUCUUUUUAUUUGCACCUGGAGAGCACAUGUUUUUUCCUUCUAAUUUAUAGUUGUUAUGGCAAAAUAAAAAAAUCCUGCUGAACCUUCAGUUUAAAAAAGACAACCAAAUAAAAAUAAAUUGCUUAAAGAUCCUUGGCCUGUGAUCUUUCGUCUUUCUUUUUUUUUUUUAAGCUAGCUUGUAUCGUGACCUUCGAGCUAACUGAAAAAUAACUGUUUAGAUAGAAAGGGAAGGGGCAGGGCAACCAAAUUUACAGAAUAAAUUGCAUGUUUCUACAUGUAUUCAGCAGACAAGAAAGUUUUUGAUAAAUGUCACAAACGGCAUUCUCUAAUUCUCGCCAAUUCUUGUCUACAAAAUCCAAAAAGCAAAGCUGAGCGGCAGCAAUUAAGGGCAGUGUUUGACAGCAAUCCAUACUUAACCUGGUAAAACAGACACAAAAAAGUGUGCGAGUGGUUAUGUGUAAAUGUGGAUGAUAGAAAAAGGGAGGGAAGUCCUUGAACUACAGCCUGGAGAAAGCUGCAGUUGAAACAUCAACACACCUGAGUGAAGCCGAGGGCUUCAAACGCAGCCUCACCUCUAAUGGUGCGAGAGCUCUGCUCCUCACAGCUGCCAGUUCAGGACCCACGGGGAAAGGAGAACUGAGCUGGAUGAACUUUCUUUACUUGUUGACAGCUUAGAGGCCCAAGUGUGUCUAAAACUGUUACCUAUGUGUGUGUGUGUGUGCAUUUAUGACAGAAACAAACCACAACUGACUACAGGCGUCUGACGGGACUUAGUGUUUCCUCUGCCACUGAGCAAAUGACAGCUUUCUGCUCCACAAACACUUGUUCACAUGAAGAUCUUUGGGGAUCAUGGGAUGCAGUGAUUCAAGUCUGUGUGUAUUCAACAAAUGCACAAAAUAAAGUGAAACCGAUAAAAAAAAAAAAAAUAAAAAAAAAUCAUGCUGCAAGAUCCUCUUCUUUGUUAAAAAAAUGGAAAAAUUGUUAACAAAACUAUUCAGUUCAUUCUUUGCUUUUUGUUACAGUGGACUAGCUCUGCUUGCUAACACAAUGCAAAGCUUUGGGAGGAUGGCAUCAGUGAUUACUGUCACGGGGUCGGCUGGUGGGAGCAUAAAUGCUCUUUUCUUUCUUUCUCCACCCUCUCUGCUAAGUGGAACGCCUCCUCUGUGUGGCAGGUCUGAGCUGAUCAGCCAAAGGCUCCAAGUCAUUGUGUGCUUCCAUCAAAGGUGCUGGCUGCCAGCACCACCCGGCUAGACGAAAGCAUUUCUACCUAUAUGGACGCCAGAAAUCUGUGCAUUCGUAAACCAAACUAAAAAGCCAAGGACACUUCUGCUCUAACUUAAAAAAAAAAAAAAAAAACAAGCCCUACACAUAGGCGGGGGGUCAUGUGGGGCAGCCUUGGGCAACAGGAGAAGGAAGGAGGGGGAGUGGAGUCAGCCUUGCCCUCAGCCAUGGCAUCCUUUCAUUGCCAGCUUUGUAGGCCUGGAGGAACUGAGGUAGUGGCUGGUUAGGGUUGGUGGGUGGGAUCUAUCCAUCCCUCCCCUCCAUACAAUUUACCUCUAGAAGCCCUCGCAUGCAGAGCACUGGCCUCCAAGCAGACAGGCUUACAAAGAGGUGAGAUCACUCCAAACUAAAGGCUUUGUUGGUGUGCCAGUGUCAGUGCUGCCCUCUCUGGCCUAUCAAAACCUUGGCAGCUCGGUUGGGCCUGUCUGCUGGAACAACUAGGACAGCAGGGUGAAUGCCUCGAUGAAAAAUACAGUUUCAGGAAAUGCAGCUGGUGCUCGCAAUAAAAAAAAAAAAAAAAAACAACAAAAAAAGCCCACAGAAACAACAGUAAAUAGGGAGACGGGGGAAUAGAAAUGCAUUUGGCCUACUAGCCUGAUUUCCUACAAUGGAAACAGUGCGGCAAGUCCACCUGGCCAACAUUUGCAAAACAAUCUAAUGUUAGGUUCUUUGAAAAGAAAAAGCUAAAGUGAGCAAUAACUGAAAGAUGGUGACGGUAACUAAGCACGAUUGAACCCCUGAAGCAAAACUUUCCACAUUUAACAGCCUGGACUUAAAGAUCUAAAAAAAAAGGAGGGGAAAAAAAGAAAAAAAAACACCCCUGGUUAUCGAUGGUGUCCAUGGCAACCAAACGGAGAUCAUGGCAUAGAGACUGUGAGAGACAGUAUAGCCUGGAGUCAAGAGGACCACCCCCUCACCAACUCCCUGCUCUAGCCUUUAGACAACCUGCCAUCAAGGUGGGAGGAAAUAGCAAACAGUCAGCACAGAGCAGUGCAGAAAGAGAGGGAUAAUGUGGAAGCCCGCAGGUGUUUCAGACUGAGAGAAUUUUCAUUUCUGUUGUUAUGUUCAGUCUCUGCAAAAAGACCUGGCCUAGACAGUAAGCCAGCUGUCUCCUGUGUGUGCUCACUCAAAAACAAGUGCAAGCGUACGCACAUUUGUUCCCUUUCUCCUCUAAUUUUACAGAUACAGAUAGCUUCUUCAUCUGACCUCUUUUAAUUUGCUCUUUCCUGUUACAGAGGAAGGCUGAUGAAAGAGGAAAAAAAGAGGGGGGAGCGCUCUUUUGUUUCCUCUCCGGGACUAAACAAUCCCAGACUAAUUUAUUUUUUGAGGACAGAAUAUGUACAUGUGUUAAUGGGAAAGUCGAAUCAAAUUAACUAUAAUUAGUCAAACUGAGAAGUGUGCUGAUUAAGAGGUACGUUAGAUAGGAGACUUAUUCAUGGCUGGAAAAUAACGCUCCAAUGCACCGAAACCAAAAAUACACAUUUCCUCUGCCACCUGCUGCCAUGCAAACCCGCCACGCCACCCUCUCCUGAGCUCUGACACCCAUCAUGCUCCCAUCAGCCCUCUCAAGAUCUGACUGCACGGGGCAUGCAGUCAGACAAACAUGCAGACACAAAUUCCUUCUGUUGUGACACAUUCCCAUGAAAAAACAUACAUGUGAAUUCUGCAAGCGGAAGAUCCUGACUCUUCUAAUCUCGUCAGAGAAACAUUAAAAAACCUCCCAUGAAGCGAUGCUGUAAUCUGUCUGGACAGACUCUGCAGAGUCAAGUUGUAAGUGGAUUGCUAAGCAGAGCAGAGGAGGCAGACGGACCAGAUCGGACAAGUUUGAGUUUUACCAACAAAGAUUUUCUUUGUCAUCUCUAUUUCAAAAUGCUUCCACAUGAUGACAAGAGAUGUAUCGUCAUGUGAACAAUUAAAAUGUAAACACUUACAAGACAGCAAGAUUCAACCCUCUAAACUGGUCAGCAGAGUCCUUAUUCCAGCUCGAGUGUGGUGAACGUGCUUCACUGACUUUGCUGCCAUUCUCCAUUUGACAUGGUCAGUGUUGUAUGCCAUGUUUUGAUUAGACAGCUGACAGAUUCACUUGGAUAACCACACUGUCAUGGCUUGUACAUAUUCACAGAAGGCUAAUUCACAUAUAGAGCUGGAAUGUGUUCGACAGGACCAUAUAACAACUCAGAAAAGGAGAGAAAUACAGCAUUUAUGUGUGAGAGAAGCUGGCACUAUGAGGAGGGCGUCAUGCAGAGGACUCACUCCACCCACCUGGUUGUUGAGGACAGGUGCAGGACGAUGCUGGAGCAAAGCUUUCACACAUUCAGUGCUGCCAUGGUUGCACGCUUCAUGUAGAGGAGUCCAGCCUGCAUGGUCUGAAUAUGUAACACAGCACAUUUAUGAAGAUAAAGAAUUAUAAAACAUGGCAGUAUUUUUUUAUUCAAAAGCCGUGAUAAAUAAUAAUAAUAAUAUUAAAUUAAAAAAAAACAUUUGGUCAAAGACUGACAAAAAAAAGAUUAAAAACAAAGAUUACCAAUACAUAUUUCAAAAUGUAGUCAAAACAUGAUUAAGAAGAAGAUGCUUUGAAAUCCUCAGGAUUACUAUAUUUACUGUGACUUUUUGUCCGAUAUAUGAAAAAAAAUCUCAAAUUAUCAACAAUAAAAAGAAUUGAAGAGAGUAACAGAAUAAAUAAAAGUCUAUAAAGCUAAUAUACAAAAAAUCAUAUCGGGGGGAAAAAAGGUAUUUUAAGUUUAGAAUUUUUAAACCAUAAACAUUUUAUUUGUUGAAAAACUCCUAAUUUUGGGGGAUUUCACAACUUCUCCCAUAGUUGCUCUAGAUUUCAUUUUGACCUUAGUCGCCCCCCCACUAAGAUACAGACGUGAGGAGCCAUAAUAGGUAUACAGAAUUGGUGAAACCUUUGUAAAAGCAUAUUUCCAUGAAAGAAGGGCAAGCCAUUUCAUCUGACCCAAAGGGGCUGCUGAAAAUGACUGUGAAAUAUCAAAAGGUGUUCAAUUCACUUAGCAAAGUGGCCUUAUAUCUAUAAAUCAGAGACUCCAAACCCACCUUGCCUUUUUAAGACACACCCUUUAAAUUUUUGCAAAAGGUUAAGCUCAAUGAUGACGCACACACUCCUUAUCCUUCGCCUUUUUCCCCUCCCAAUGUAAAGUGUUCUUUAGAAGGCUGGGAGCGAACGGUUGGAGUCCAGCGGCGUGACAGUGGGACAGAGAUUACUCAAAAAAAAAAAAA